UACGUAGGGGGCGAGCGUUAUCCGGAUUUAUUGGGCGUAAAGCGCACGCAGGCGGUCCUGCAAGUGUGGGGUGACAGCUCCUGGCUUAACCAGGAGAGGACUCUACAAACUGCAGGGCUUGAGAGCGAGAGAGGGACACGGAAUUCCGGGUGGAGCAGUGAAAUGCGUAGAUAUCCGGAGGAACACCAAAGGCGAAGGCAGUGUCCUGGCUCGUUUCUGACGCUCAGGUGCGAAAGCCAGGGGAGCGAACGGG
rnacentral:rRNA from 1 species